rnacentral:rRNA from 1 species
UACGAAGGGGGCUAGCGUUGCUCGGAAUCACUGGGCGUAAAGCGCACGUAGGCGGACUCUUAAGUCGGGGGUGAAAUCCUGGAGCUCAACUCCAGAACUGCCUUCGAUACUGAGAGUCUUCGAGUUCGGGAGAGGUGAGUGGAACUGCGAGUGUAGAGGUGAAAUUCGUAGAUAUUCGGAAGAACACCAGUGGCGAAGGCGGCUCACUGGACCGGCAUUGACGCUGAGGUGCGAAAGCGUGGGGAGCAAACAGG